CUAAUCAGUUGUUGUAUUCGACUGUAUUCACGGCGUGAAAUAGGGGAUUACACUGUUUUUAAAAUGGAUGAAUCAAUUAACAUAAUAGACUUCU
rnacentral:pre_miRNA from 1 species